UACAGAGGUCUCAAGCGUUGUUCGGAUUCAUUGGGCGUAAAGGGUGCGUAGGCGGCGGGGUAAGUCUGAUGUGAAAUCCCGGGGCUCAACCCCGGAACUGCAUUGGAUACUGCCUUGCUUGAGUACUGGAGAGGAGAUUGGAAUUUACGGUGUAGCAGUGAAAUGCGUAGAUAUCGUAAGGAAGACCAGUGGCGAAGGCGAAUCUCUGGACAGUUACUGACGCUGAGGCACGAAGGCCAGGGGAGCAAACGGG
rnacentral:rRNA from 1 species